AAUCUUAAAAAAAUACGGACAUGAAAGAACUCGACGGAAACUUCGAAAUUAAGUAUUACUUUUCGUCUAUUUCUCAACCCUAAAGAGUUUCAAACUGCGAUUGAAGCAGCAAAUAGGCGAGAGUGAUUAAUCCAGUCUAUCCAGAGAUUCCAUACGCAUACGGUAACAUGGGUCAGUGGGUGCACUUUGGGUUUCUUUGAUUUUUCAAGAAGCUAUCAAGCUACAACUUGAUUAAAGUACAGAUAUUGCUUCAAAUAUAGAAUCAUUUGUUCCGUAUGUACGGAACUACCUAGAGAGCGAGAAAAGCAAUAUCAAAGGUUCUAAAGUGAAGACUAAUUUGCUGGUGGCUCCGUUUCAAUCUGUUUCUCUUUUUGGACAUAGCUUAGUGCUUAAAUUUUCUUCGAUAAUUGUCGAAUAUGAAUGCCUGUUUGUUUUCGUUUCUAAUAAAAACUAAAAGAUAUUUCGUUUUCGAUGUCUUAUAUACUCCAAUGUGGUCUAUAAAUCCAUUCAUUUCAGUAAAAAUUUCAUUAAGAAGGCAAUGUGUGCUAAAAAACAUUUGCAUUAAAGGGCAUUCGAUUGUUUUUGCACAAGGUCGUCUAAAUCUCAGAGACGGCCCUGAUAAUUGUAGUUCUAUGUAUAUGAUAUAUUAUCACUUCUCACCCUUUUCUUUCAUAUCAUUGUUCUGAUCACUAGGUUCGGUCAAAAAGCACCUCUUUUAAAGCAGAGAUGGAGCGCUUUUUCGGAGAAUUAAAAAAGGGAAAAACUCUACCACAGGAAGUGGAGAGUCUGGAGACCAAGGCUGCUCGUAAAGCACGUCUUAAGCAAACCAUCUCUGAUAUUGGGUUUCUGGGGAUACCUCUUUGGUUCUCGAUUCUUCUCGCCGCACAUGUACUAACAAAGCCCUCGUUGAUUACUCCUGCUGCUGAUCCGGGUAAGGUAGUUGCCUCUCGGUGAACCAUACACUUUUACAAAACGUAGAGGGUGAAGGAGGCUACUUCUGGUGGAAUGAGCAAACUUCUAAAUCCGUUUCUGAUUGACUGUUAUAAAGUGAAGUCCUCACAUAACUUGGGAUGUACUGAUAUAUAUACUCUCACCUAGAUUUCGUGAUUUUCGGUUUCGUAUAUACUACAGCUAGCUGUAUCCGUUUCUUGUGUCUAUCUUAAUCUCUUCGAUUAGGUAAAAUAUACGACCUUCUUUCUAACUUGUUCCAUCGCAAUAACGAAGAGGAAUAUGAACAGAAACAGCUUUAAUAUUAGUGAUUUCUAUGGUA